rnacentral:rRNA from 1 species
GGAGAACGGCUGGGCGGCGUGGAUUAGGCGAUGCAAGUCGAACGGUAUCAUCUUUCGGGGGUGAGAGAGUGGCGAACUGGUGAGUAACACGUAGGUUAUCUACCCUCAAGACGGGACAACCCAGGGAAACUUGGGCUAAUACCGGAUGUGAGCAACUUUUAGUGUUUGAAAGGUGGCGUAAGCUGUCGCUUGGGGAUGAGCCUGCGUCCUAUUAGUUAGUUGGUGAGGUAACGGCUCACCUAAGGCAAUGAUAGGUAGGCGGCCUUAACGGGUGGUCGCCCACACUGGGAUUGAGAUACGGCCCAGACUCCUACGGGAGGCAGCAGUCGAGAAUAGUCUACAAUGGUCGGAAGACUGAUAGUGCGACGCCGCGUGAACGAUGAAUCCCUUCGGGGUGUAAAGUUCUUUUAUAUGUGAGCAGUGCUUCUUAUAUUAACAGUAUGGGGAGAGAGAUAUUAGCAUAUGAAUAAGCAACGGCUAACUCCGUG